CUAUGCGUACGUGAUGCUAAUUUAUCAUUCAUUGAUACUUCUUUUUUUGCUUUCAUUUUGUUAUUUACUUUUCGAACGUCUCAAUUUUUGAGAACGUACGGAAACACGUAUUAUCUGCUCAAUAUAGUGGAUGAACAUUUCGGAUUACGGUCCCAAAAAUUGAAGAAGUCCAAAAGCGCCUGCAGUCUUUAAUUUCUUGCGAUCUUUGGAGUGGAAAACAAAAGCUUCUACAUUAACAAAUUUGCAGAUUUUCCGAUGAACUCUCCGCGAAGUCUACAUAGACUGCAAACGAUUCGUUGAAACCUUGACCGCUUUUUCUUAUCAACUUUAAUUAAUAAUACUUGCAAACGAAGACGAUGCAUAUGUUUACAUUGAGUUAUACAUUUUAGAGCAAGGUUGGUUGAGAUAAUAUUUCGCGUUUAUGUACACGUUAUACGACGAGCUGAUAAAGAUACAUUUUAUAUAAUGCACUCCCAAAAGCACCGCGAACUAUAUAUUCGCGGAACAAUGUACCUUUAAAAUGAUUGAAAAUCAUUUGAUACAAAUAAACUCUUUCUUUCAAUUAUUAAGUUUUUGAUUCAUCGUAAUCAUUUUGUACGAUAACUGACAGUAAAAUUUUCUUCCAUUGAAUUUUUAAAUGUACGUACAUAAUGUAAGGUACGUACAGUGCAAUUGGGGAUGAAUUUUUAAACCAGGGAUCUUGGAUGUAUCGAAUGACAUUGAUUAUAAUUGUGAUAGGUAUGAUAUCCAUUUAUGUUAUACUUAAAGUUCAGCUACUAGAAACUGCGAACUUCAAAUCAUAAAGCUUUAAUGACGAGAUCAACUUUUCACGGUAUAAGUUCUGCACUGCAGCUGUACCAGUGCAGUCCAGGAGCAGGUAAUUACUCCGGAAUGCUGAAGUCUUAUAAGUUUUACUCCCGGGAUAUAUCCAAAAGAAAUGAACAUGCGAGGAUAUAAAACGGCAGGUAGAUAGAAUUGCUAUUCUAAUUCUACGCCGAACUAAACUCGUUAUUAGAGAGUGCAAUUCUGAAAUCACAGGAAAUCUAAGGUCCCUAUACGUAGGUACAUGAGUAUAUUUAUAACCAGUACUAAGGUAACCCGUGGACUUUCUCUGUGAUCGAUGUCUAUUAAUAGAUCCUAUAGAUCCAUACGAUUAAAACCGGUCAUUACGGUAACAGGAAAAUUGCCAUAUAAUAGUAAUCGAUCGGAUUUGAAUAUUCAUCUGUACGUACGUCGAUUUCCCAUUGAAAUAAACUGAUCAUUUCAAUACCGAUCGAGGGAACUUUUUUGAACUUGUGUAUUCCGACUGGAGUUGUUUCUUUCGUAUUGUUUUUUUCUUUCUCUUAUUUUUGUAUGUGGUGUAAUAAAUUUACAACCCAUUUUACAUUUCACGAAGAAAAUAAAAUUUAACAGCGGCAUGUGAAUCCUAAGACGAUCCGGGCAGGGUGAUUCACCGAGCGUAAAAUAAAACUUAUACGCUUGCAGAAUCGAAAAUGAAUUUCGAUGGACAUUCUUCGAAUCGUAAAUACAUAUUCGUACGACAAUUAUUCUGUGGUUUAGAGCGUAAUGAUACAGAGAUGACGCGGUAAGAUAAUUCUUUAUCAUUAUGUUUUAUUCUCGAUGUCCAUUCGUUUAUUCAUUCGUGUGGCUAUUUUUUCUUAUCUGGGAUUCUUCCGAGGGGAAUUAUAUCCCGGGAGAAGUUCCCCCGUAUAUAAGUAUAACAUAAAACGUACGAGUGGACAUCCAGCAUCUCCAGAGCAUUACGAAAGUGCGAGAGUGAAGUAGAUACUCCAGUGGCUGUUGCUCCUCAACUCUUCACUCUCGAGGAUAUUAAGUUGAAAAUUCAAGUUUAUUAAGUAUAUUCAAAAAUCAUACUCACUACCUGCGCAUUGACUACAAGAACUUUUGGCAAUGUCAUCUGAAAAGUAAAAAAGAAUGACUAGUCUACCAUAAACGCUCUUCUCUUCCCGCUCAUACCCGAACAGUUAUCGACAAAUUCGGCUCAUCGAUAGGACCGAAUACGAGCAAGUGGCAAACGAAAAGUAAAACGAAAAAAAUAAAAAUAUGAAAUCAAUCUUUAUAAUUUUCGCAUUGAUUGGCUGCGCUUUAGCCGCGCCAUGGUUCGAUUUGUUCGUAAGAAACCCUGGAUACAAUAGCGGAUCGGGUCACCGACCAAGACAAAAUCGUCAAGGAAAAGGAGGAGGUGAACGUUGGAAGGAAAUUUGCAGGACAAUCACGCCGGAUAAUUAUGCUUUUCCAGGACAAACAGGAGCCAUUUGCCCCUGGUGAUGGUAUAGUUUGGACUCAUUCUACUAUUGUGUGCCUGUGAAUUAAGUGCAUAAUUUUAAGAAAUUGUGAAGAUUGCAUGGAUCUUAGGUGAAAAAAUUUCUCAUUUUAUUAUAACAAUUUCAUAUAAUUAUAAUGAAUAUAGGAAUAUGUUAUUGAGUAUGUUUCUUGUAAAGCUGUGUACAUUAGUUAUAAAUACAUGAAUUUAUGUACAGUUAUCUCUAAUCUGUACCGUACCAUGUGUAUAUUUAAAAAAAAAUGAAAAAAAAAUGCCAUAAAUAAGUAUUUAUUCUA